GAGUCCCUUUGCUAUCACGUGAUCGGAUACAUCCGCUCUUCCGGAACAAAUGAGGGAUGAACAAGAGUUGACGGUUGCAAGGAACGUUCCAUUUUUAUCCUGUGGCAUCUUGUGCCUUCUGGCACAGUGUGGGGUGCACAGACCCCAGAGACGCUCAGUACCACAGGUCUGCAGGGAACAGGAGGCUCUGUCAGUCCCUCUCCUUAUGGGGAAGACAGAAGGAGCUUAGAGACUCGGAGUAUCAUCACAGUCCAAAGAAGCAGGGCUUCAAGCUGCUCUCUGCUUGAUUUUUGUGACUUUCUGGAAGAGGACACCGAUUCUCUGAUCUACAUGGUCCCCAUUCUGAGAUUCUCCCUGGGGACUUUGUGAACAGGGACACAGAUGGUCUUGUUCUGGAAGAAAGGUUUUCAUGGAUGUCUGCCUUGCAAACAUUAAAGAUUAAAAAAUCCA